GUCUUUUUGAAAAUAAUUUAAAGUCUAAUCUGCCCACUGAUGAAAAUUAAAGGGCUGCAGUAUUUUGACUGUACAAAGGUAGCAUAAUCAUUAGUCUCUUAAUUGGUGACUUGUAUGAAGGAUUGGAUGAGAUAUAAACUGUCUCUAAAAUAUUUAUAAAAUUUAAUUUUUUAAUUAAAAAGUUAAAAUAAAUUUAAAAGACGAGAAGACCCUAUAGAGUUUUAUAAAUUUAAUAAUAAAUAAAUUAUUUAUAAAUAGAAAAUAAAAAUUAUUAAAUUUAUUUUAUUGGGGUGAUAGAAAAAUUAAAUAAACUUUUUUUAAAAUAAAACAUAAAUAAGUGAAAAAAAGAUCCAAAAUUUUUGAUUAAAAGAAAAAAUUACCUUAGGGAUAACAGCGUAAUUUUUUCUUUUAGUUCAUAUAAAAGAAAAAGUUUGCGACCUCGAUGUUGGAUUAAGAUAAAAUUUAAAUGCAAAAGUUUAAAAUUUUGAUCUGUUCGAUCAUUAAAAUCUUACGUGAUCUGAGUUCA
rnacentral:rRNA from 1 species